rnacentral:rRNA from 1 species
CUUCCGUAGGGUGAACCUGCGGAAGGAUCAUUACUGUGAUUUAUAUCUUAUACACAUGCGUGAGCGCACCAAACACCUAAAAUUGUAAUAAUAAUUGUCAGUAAGUUUUAACAAAACAAAACUUUCAACAACGGAUCUCUUGGUUCUCGCAUCGAUGAAGAGCGCAGCGAAAUGCGAUACCUAGUGUGAAUUGCAGCCAUCGUGAAUCAUCGAGUUCUUGAACGCACAUUGCGCCCCAUGGUAUUCCAUGGGGCAUGCCUGUCUGAGCGUCGUUUCCUUCUUGCGCAAGCAGAGUUGAGAACAGGCUAUGCCUUUUUCGAAAUGGAACGUCGUGGACGAAGUGAACUAAACAUUUAGCACGCUUUGGCCGCCGAACUCUUAACUAAGCUCAACAACUGAUCCUGCGAGAUAUGCAGGAACCGCUUAU